rnacentral:rRNA from 1 species
UACGAAGGGGGCUAGCGUUGCUCGGAAUGACUGGGCGUAAAGGGCGCGUAGGCGGUUCGUACAGUCAGACGUGAAAUUCCCGGGCUCAACCUGGGGGCUGCGUUUGAUACGUACGGGCUUGAGUUCGGAAGAGGGUCGUGGAAUUCCCAGUGUAGAGGUGAAAUUCGUAGAUAUUGGGAAGAACACCGGUGGCGAAGGCGGGUCUCUGGGCCGAUACUGACGCUGAGGAGCGAAAGCGUGGGGAGCGAACAGG